rnacentral:rRNA from 1 species
GACGUAGGGUCCAAGCGUUUGUCCGGAUUUACUGGGCGUAAAGAGCGCGUAGGCGGUCUGUUAAGUGCACGAGUGAAAUCCCGGGGCUCACCUCCGGAACUGCUCUGCAUACUGGCAGACUUGAGGGUCGGAGAGGUUUGUGGAAUUCCUGGUGUAGCGGUGAAAUGCGUUGAUAUCGAGAGGAACACCAGUGGCGAAGGCGAGUCCCUGGACGACUCCUGACACUGAGGCACGAAAGCUAGGGGAGCAAACAGG